UAGGAUUCACUUUCAGUGGUAUCAGAGCAAAGGUCCAAGAGUUAUGACCGAUCUUCGGAAACUCUCACGCGUGAUCGUAUGACGAAGCGUGGCUCUCCGUCCGAAGGCGUAUAGAGAUGCGUGCUCUGAUAGGUAUACAUGGGUGUCACCCUAUUUUUAAUAGGACCGAACCCAUGUAGGAGUGGAGACUCCCACUUUCAGUGGUAUCAGAGCCAGG
rnacentral:lncRNA from 1 species